rnacentral:rRNA from 1 species
GACAGAGGUGCCGAGCGUUAGGCGGAAUCACUGGGCUUAAAGCGUGUGUAGGCGGAUCCGUAAGUACCUUGUGAAAUCCCACGGCUCAACCGUGGAACUGCUGGGUAUACUGCGGGUCUUGAGCCACCUAGGGGCGAGCGGAACAAGUGGUGGAGCGGUGAAAUGCGUAGAUAUCACGUGGAACGCCAAUGGUGAAAACAGCUCGCUGGGGGUGUGCUGACGCUGAGACACGAAAGCCAGGGGAGCAAACGGG